GACGAACGCUGGCGGCGUGCUUAACACAUGCAAGUCGAACGGAAAGGCCCUGCUUUUGUGGGGUGCUCGAGUGGCGAACGGGUGAGUAACACGUGAGUAACCUGCCCUUGACUUUGGGAUAACUUCAGGAAACUGGGGCUAAUACCGGAUAGGAGCUCCUGCUGCAUGGGGGGGGUUGGAAAGUUUCGGCGGUUGGGGAUGGACUCGCGGCUUAUCAGCUUGUUGGGGGGGUAGUGGCUUACCAAGGCUUUGACGGGUAGCCGGCCUGAGAGGGUGACCGGCCACAUUGGGACUGAGAUACGGCCCAGACUCCUACGGGAGGCAGCAGUGGGGAAUAUUGCACAAUGGGCGGAAGCCUGAUGCAGCAACGCCGCGUGCGGGAUGACGGCCUUCGGGUUGUAAACCGCUUUCGCCUGUGACGAAGCGUGAGUGACGGUAAUGGGUAAAGAAGCACCGGCUAACUACGUG
rnacentral:rRNA from 1 species